UCUCUCUUACCCGACCCUCUCUCCCUCUCUUGCUCUCUUAAUUUUCAAUUUUAAGAAUUGAAGAAAAGUGCUUGAUGUUUGGUGGUUUUGGAGCUUGAUAAUUGUAGAACUUUGAGCUUACUCUUGGUUUGAGUUUGAGGAUUACCGGCACCUGGUCAGGAGCACCCGGGGAUUCGGAAUCUCUGCCUUUGCAGGACAACAGGAAAGGGUAAGUCAGUGGCUGAUCAACCAUGAGUUUGAGGAGCAAGAUGAAGAAUGUACAUGUUCAAGCCAUAUCAGACCAAGCGGGUUAAGGGUCUAUCAGUGAUGAACUUUUGAAUUCUAUUUUGCCGUUUAGGUCGGCUAGAAAUAAUUGACUUGUAAUAGCGGUUGUAAAUAUUUUUGG